GUGAGCUUGGUGGUGGCCAAGAUUCACGAGGCCGCCGCAGUCGGUGGUGUGGUGGACAUGAGUGAGCUGCUCAAGACAUUCACAUAUGACAUGGCAUGUCGCAUCGUGUCCGGAGAAUUCUUCCUAAAAGAAGGACAGAGCAAGUUGUUCCAAGACCUCACCAAUGAUACGUCACUGCUGCUAGGAGGGUUCAAGGUGGAGGAGUACUUCCCAACAUUGUCUAGGGUAGGACUGCUUAAAAGGACAGUUCGUGCAAAGGCUGAGAGACUAAGGCAUAGAUGGGCCGAUCUGCUGGACAAGGUGAUCGAUUAUCAUGAGAACGAGGACAAGUCAGUGUUAGAUAACCAGGGUAGUAAUUUCGUCGAUAUUCUCUUGUCUGUUCAGCUCGAGUAUGGUCUCACAAGAGAGCAGAUGAAAGCUCUCCUAACCGAUGUAUUUUUCGGUUUAACUGACACAUCAUCUAACACCCUCGAAUUCACAAUGGCUGAGCUCAUGAGGAGGCCCCGCCUGAUUGGGAAGCUACAAGACGAGGUAAGGAGUAUCGAACCCCAGGGACAGGAAAUUGUUAAUGAAGCCGACAUUAGCAGUAUGACAUACCUAAGAGCAGUCCUAAAGGAGUCAUUCCGAUUUCAUCCUGUUGCACCUUUACUUGCUCCACACCUUGCCAUGGCUGACUGCAGCAUCGAUGGGUACAUGAUUCCUGCUGGGACGCAUGUCUUUGUCAAUGUAUGGGCCAUUGGUAGAGACUCUAGCUCAUGGGAGGAAAGUGAAGAAUUCAUACCUGAAAGAUUUACAGAGGAAGGCCGUGAUGUGCAUGUCAACUUUGUAGGGAGUAAUUUUAAACUCUUGCCGUUCGGGGCAGGACGCAGGAUAUGCCCUGGUAUAAACCUUGGAAUCAUGACUGUUGAGCUUAUGUUGGCAAACUUGAUGUACCAUUUCAACUGGGAACUGCCAAUAGGGGUUGAGAGGAAAGACAUUGAUAUGACAGAGGUGUUUGGACUAACUGUGCGCCUGAAGGAGAAAUUACUGUUAGUUCCAAAAUCAUGCAUGUAA
rnacentral:rRNA from 1 species